rnacentral:tRNA from 1 species
GCCCCAGUGGCUCAGUGGUAGAGCGGCUGUCUCGUAAACAGCAGGUCACGAGUUCAAACCUCGUCUGGGGCU